UUUCCGUAGGUGAACCUGCGGAAGGAUCAUUAUUGUAUAACCGAGGUGCGAGGGCUGUCGCUGACCCGACGGGUCGUGCACGCCCGAGUGCCCUCACACACAUCCAUCACACCACUAUGUGCACCACCGCGUGGGUCCCCCUUUGGCUUGUUCGGAGGGGGGCUUACGUUUUCACACAAACUUAGUAUGCAGUGUAGAAUGUAUUUUUUGUUUUUGCGAUCACGCAAUCAAUACAACUUUCAACAACGGAUCUCUUGGCUCUC
rnacentral:misc_RNA from 1 species